UAUAGCAACAUGGAUGGAACUGGAGGUGAUUAUGUUAAGUGAAAUCAGCCAGGCACAGAAAGACAUAUAUUGCAUAUUCUCAUAUUUGGGAGCUAAAAAGUUGAUCAUGUGGAACUAGACAGCAGAAUGAUAGACAUCAGAGACUGACAGGAUAUGUGGGUAGGAGGAGGAAUGAAGAGAGGUUGGUUAAUGGGUAUGAACAUAUAGUUAGAUAGAAGAAAUAAGUUCUGAUGUUCAAUAGCAGAGUAGGGUGGCUAUAGUUAACAACAAUGUAUUGUAUAUUUCAAAACAGCCAAAAUAGAGGACUUGAAAUGUACCCAACACUUAAAAUACACAACAUAAAUUACAGAUAUAA